AUCGUGGUUUUUCUCCCGGUACUCGGGUUUCCACGUACAUUGGUGUGAACUCGUUGUCUCUCUUUUCAAUAGUUAUUAUACUGCUUCUCUUGGGGACUACGUGCAUUAAGGUUUGAAGCUCUUCCUUUCAACACAUCUCUAUUUGUUCUUCAUUUUAAAUGGCUAUUACCUUAGUCAACAACUAUUGGUGUGAGUUUAUGAUUUAUAUGAGGAUAAUAGGCUUCAACUCAACGUAAAACUAGAUCAAAUGGUCGUCUGAGUUUACAAGCUCAAUGAUCACAUUUCAUUUUUUUCCUUUAUAUGUGUUGGUCUUCAUCAAACGUAGUCUGAGCAAAUUGGGGGAGAAGAAAAUUAGACUUGAAGAUCCAAGUUUUAGAUUAUGUUGAUAUGUUAAGUUUUCUCAACUUCGAACCUCACCCCCUCCCCACGAGACCACCGCCAAGCCAUGCUGGUUAUGAUAUUCUCGAGUAUGUUUGAAGUAACUUUCGAAGAUAGCAUUUUUAAAUGAUAACUCUAAUGAAAUCUUGUUGGUUGAAAUUACGAGAUCACUUCUCAACUUCCAAAACUCUCAUAUGGUACAAAUAACUUCCUAGUUUAGAAGAUAAUGAAAUGUGGUAGUAUGAUCUCAUGUUUGAUCAAAUGCAAUUUGCAGCUCAUUUGGGUCAAACCUGACUCCAAGUAGCAAUUCAUCCGAAAACAUUUUUGCGGCUCUCAUUACCAUUGUUGGGAUACUUCUAGUUGUUUAUCUUAUCGACAAUUUGCAGGUUUGUUAAAGAUCUUCUCAUCCAAUAUGUCAACUCUCCUUUUCCAAAUUAGUAACAAGGAAACGGGUGCAUCAUAAAACAGGUAUAUCUGCAGUCCUCAACUUUAAGAUCAGAAGAGAAACGGAGGACGAUGCAAAAGAAAGAUGUUGAAAUAGAUUUCUGGAUAGAUUAUUAUAAAUUCCAGAAGAAGAAGGAACUCAAAAGAGUUUGUGAGAGACAAGUUUGAGUGGAAAAAUGAUGUCAAUUUGAAAACACUGCUGGACGUGUUUCCAUCUCCAUUCAUUGAGGAGAUAAAGAAAGAACUUUGCUGGGAUAUCCUAAGGAGGAUUCCAAUGCUUAAAGAAUUUGAAGAGGAGAAGAUAGAAGAGAUGAUGAAGGAUAUGAAGCCAAUGGUUUUCGCAGAGCAAAGGUAUAUUAUUCGAGAGGGGGAGCCUAUUGAGCAGAUGCUAUUGUUCAAAAAAGGUAUGGGAUUGACAUUUAGCGAGAGCAAUGGAACUAGGACAACGAUUAACACUUUUGGAAAAGGUGAUUUGUUUGGAGAGCAACUACUGAAUUGGGCAAUGGAAAAUCUUUCUGUAUCUCUGAAAUUCCUUUGUCCCAAUGUACUCUCAAGACACAAACCCAAAUGGAAGCCUUCGCUCUCAAGGCUAUUGAUCCACAAUAUCAUACAAGUGGGAGACAAAUAGUUAAGUUAAAGUUUAAUCUUUCUUGAACUUUAUGUUUGCGUUCCUAUUUUAUAAACUAAUUUAAGACAAAGACUUCAUACCAAUAGAGAUAAUUGUCCACA